rfam:Brassica napus, WGS project CCCW01000000 data, contig: 5193
UGGAGCGAUCAUACCAGUCCUAAUGCAUUGAUUCUCUUUAGAACUCUGCAAUUAAAUGUGUUUGGACAAGAGUAGUAUUAGGAUAGAUGAUUGGAAAAAAUCUUCGUGUUGCACUCU